rnacentral:rRNA from 1 species
CAGCCGCCGCGGUAAUACGUAGGUGGCAAGCGUUGUCCGGAAUUAUUGGGCGUAAAGGGCUCGCAGGCGGUUUCUUAAGUCUGAUGUGAAAGCCCCCGGCUUAACCGAGGAGGGUCAUUGGAAACUGGGAGACUUAGAGUGCAGAAGAGGAGAGUGGAAUUCCAUGUGUAGCGGUGAAAUGCGUAGAUAUAUGGAGGAACACCAGUGGCGAAGGCGACUCUCUGGUCUGUAACUGACGCUGAGGCGCGAAAGCGUGGGGAGCAAACAGGAUUAGAUACCCCGGUAGUCCCUGUCUCUUAUA